GCACACAUAAUUGUACUGUCUACACCUUGGCUGGACUACUUUUAUUGCAGAUGGUUGGGGCAGCUCCAGAGACAGGAGAGCUAUCUUCACAAAACAGCUCUUGUUCCUUCCCUCAAUCUAUCUUACUCUCUCCUUCAGAGAAUGUAAAAAAAUUUUAGGAAAUUUUUUGUCAAAGUGAUACCUGAACAAAUUGUAAUCGCAGCACUAUUCUGUGUUGCAUUAUUCAUACAAUAUUAUUAUUGCUAUAAUUGUGGUGUUUUUGAUGGUCAUGUACAAUAUGGAACUCUAUUGACAUGUACAC